AUACGGAGGGUCCAAGCGUUAUCCGGAAUCAUUGGGUUUAAAGGGUCCGUAGGCGGGCAAUUAAGUCAGAGGUGAAAUCCCACAGCUCAACUGUGGAACUGCCUUUGAUACUGGUUGUCUCGAAUUAUAGUGAAGUAGAUAGAAUAUGUAGUGUAGCGGUGAAAUGCUUAGAUAUUACAUAGAAUACCGAUUGCGAAGGCAGUCUACUAACUGUAUAUUGACGCUGAUGGACGAAAGCGUGGGGAGCGAACAGGAUUAGAAACCCUAGUAGUCC
rnacentral:rRNA from 1 species